rnacentral:rRNA from 1 species
UACGGAGGGUGCAAGCGUUAUCCGGAUUCACUGGGUUUAAAGGGUGCGUAGGCGGGUUGGUAAGUCAGUGGUGAAAUCUCCGAGCUUAACUUGGAAACUGCCAUUGAUACUAUCAGUCUUGAAUAUUGUGGAGGUCAGCGGAAUAUGUCAUGUAGCGGUGAAAUGCUUAGAUAUGACAUAGAACACCAAUUGCGAAGGCAGCUGGCUACACAUAUAUUGACACUGAGGCACGAAAGCGUGGGGAUCAAACAGG